rnacentral:rRNA from 1 species
AUAAGCAAAAUAAGGGCGUAUGGGGAAUGCCUAGGCUCUCAGAGGCGAAGAAGGACGUGAUAAGCUGCGAAAAGCUACGGGGAUUGGCACACACGAAUUGAUCCGUAGAUAUCCGAAUGGGGCAACCCAGUAUGUUGAAGACAUACUAUCCUGUAUAGGAGGCGAACCCGCUGAACUGAAACAUCUAAGUAGGCGGAGGAGAAGAAAACAAAAGUGAUUCCGUAAGUAGUGGCGAGCGAACGCGGAAUAGCCCAAACCAAAGUUGUUACGGCAAUUUUGGGGUUGUAGGACCACGA